CAGACACGGCUUCGAAACAUCUCUCUGUUAUUUAUUUAGCAUUGCCUAUAAUUUUUUUUCGACAAAGAGCAUUGCCUAUAAAUACAGGGCAGAUUCAUCCAGACAUCUACAUCUGGAAAGCAAGCCAGUGCUAGAAAAGACCAAAUCACAUAGAGGUACAUAGAGCUGCUGGCGUUUGUCCAAUUUCGUUUCAACAUGAGCACGCCAUGCGACGGCCCCAAGACGGAGUGGCCUGAGCUGGUCGGCCGGACGAUCAAGGAGGCGGAGGAGAAGAUCAAGGCGGACCGACCGGACCUCACCGUGGAUGUUGUCCCAGUAGGAACUAAUGUGACGGGUGAGUUCAAUGAGAACCGCGUCCGCGUCUGGGUCGACACGGUGGCGGAGGUUCCCCGGAUUGGCUAAGCUGCUUUUAAUUAGCCUACAGGAAUACUGGCCCGUGCAGGUCUCCACAUCGUCUAGUUAAUCGACCGAAUAAAUAAGCAUGGGCACGGUCUGAAAAAUGUAUGGAUGUACUAUGUCAUGUUGUUCUGUUGUGAGUUGUAAGCAUGAGUAAUAUUGUGGAGCCACUGGUUAUUGUUUAAGAGAUAUAAUCUACUUUGGCAUUAGGA